rnacentral:rRNA from 1 species
UGAAGAAUUUGUCCAACGGCGGGGGAUAGCCGGCCCAACGGCCGGGUAAUACCGCGUACGACCUUCGAGGGGCAUCCCUUGAUGGUGAAAGCCGCAAGGCGCCGAUGGAGAACUUCGCGGCCUAUCAGCUAGUUGGUGAGGUCAUGGCUCACCAAGGCGACGACGGGUAGCUGGUCUGAGAGGAUGAUCAGCCACAUUGGGACUGAGACACGGCCCAGACUCCUACGGGAGCAG